GUAACGACUCUCGGCAACGGAUAUCUCGGCUCUCGCAUCGAUGAAGAACGUAGCAAAAUGCGAUACCUGGUGUGAAUUGCAGAAUCCCGUGAACCAUCGAGUUUUUGAACGCAAGUUGCGCCCGAGGCCUUCUGGCCGAGGGCACGCCUGCCUGGGCGUCACGCC
rnacentral:rRNA from 1 species